GGGUGGCUAGCUCAGUUGGUUAGAGCACUUCGUUUACACCGAAGGGGUCAGAGGUUCGAAUCCUCUGCCACCCACCA
rnacentral:tRNA from 1 species